UAAUGGAAUUUGGAUUGCUGUCAUUUUUCUCCUUGGCUCAGAAGCAAAUGAAGUCUGCUACGAAAGGAUUGGAUGUUUCUCUGAUAAGCCCCCUUGGUCAGGAAUACCUGGGAGACAGCUGCUAGGUUUACCCCAGUCUCCUGAAAGUAUGAAUAUUACCUUCUAUCUCUUCACUAAAGAGUCUGGAAAUACUUCACAAAAAAUCUCAGCCAGUAAUACAACAACUAUAGAAAAGUCCUACUUCUC